rnacentral:lncRNA from 1 species
AUACACUUGGCUGGCAGGGAAGGGAAGAUGGAGCCACCAGUUUGAAAAUGUCUAGUCCUUAGUUCCUGCUGGCAUUCACCUAUGCAAGCUCCCAGCUUGCAGGCUGCUCUUUGUUAGAAAAUGACUUGGGGCUGCUUUUCAUUAAAAAGAAAAGCCUUACCCAGGACUCCCAUGCCCUUGCUAUCUGCCUAAGCAAUUCCUUCUUAACUCCUAUAUCCCUGGGGAGAUGGUAGGAGUGCUGCCCCUGUCUCCUUGCUUGAGAGGGGAACUGCCCCAGGGAACCACCGCCAUCUUUCUCUAUUGCCUGUGUGACUGCAGCAUGGUGAGGUUCUAAGUCCCUGUACCCCUUUUGACUAAGGAUGUUUUCCUUCUUCCCCAUGAUUUUGCUGGAGAAUGAGAGGCAGAAUUAAAACGUGCUGCAUUUGUAUUCAGAUGUAAAGUUUGUGUCUCUGCAGAAAGCAUUGCUUGUGUAGAGAAGGAAAGCAUAUUGUUUUAGUCCACAGGGGAGCUAGAAAUGUGAUCAGUCAUCAGAAUAAGGCAGAUGUGUGCUAAAUAUUUCAGUCACUUAUUAGCAGAUAAUUUAUUGGCUUAUUAUCAAAUGUAGCAAAUAUUUGCCAUGUCUGCUUUGGGUUACUUUUUUUGGGAAGCCUUAGGCCGAUUUUUGGCAACAGGGAUUGAAAACAUUUUACCACUUCCCUUACUGAAAAGGCCUUGUUGCCUGGGUGGGUGCCCAAGUCGUUGGUCUCACAGCUGAGGAAAUCGACGAUGCAGACACACCAAGGACGAGGUCAGAGCAGAAGCAGAAGUUUAACAGGUGAAAGAAAGAGAACAGUUCUCUGCUGCAGAGAGGGGUCCCAGAAAGGGUUGCCGUCCCACAGUAAAAUGAAAGGGUUUUUUUCAUGCGCGUCCGUGUGAAGAGACACCAAACAGGCUUUGUGUGAGCAACAUGGCUGUUUAUUUCACCUGGGGGCAGGCGGGCUGAGUCCGAAAAGAGAGUCAGCGAAGGGAGAUAGGGGUGGGGCCGUUUUAUAGGAUUUGGGAAGGUAAUGGAAAAUUACAGUCAAAGGGGGUUGUUCUCUGGUGGGCAGGGGCGGGGGUCACAAGGUGCUCAGUGGGGGAGCUUCUGAGCCAGGAGAAGGAAAUUCACAGGGUUAAUCACUCAGUUAAGGUGGGGCAAGAACAAAUCACCAUGGUGGAAUGUCAUCAGUUAAGGCGGGGCAGGGCCUUUUCAGUUCUUUUGUGAUUCUUCAGUUACUUCAGGCCAUCUGGGCGUAUACGUGCAAGUCA